AUGGCGCGUCCUUCCCGCGCUCGCACGGGGUCACGGGUGACGCGGUGCUUCCCAUGCUACGACGGCGACAGGAGCGGCGAGUUCAGCGGCUGCAACGUCCCCAACGAUCUGCUCCCGUCGCUCGGCGCCACCGCCGCCGCGCAGCCGACCGCCGGCAGGUACCUCGUCUCGCCUUACGGCCGGCGCUACAGGGUGUGGGAGACGUUUCUGAUCCUGCUGGUGGUGUACUCGGCGUGGAUAUGCCCGCUGGAGUUCGCGUUCCUGAGGCACCUGCCCCGCGCGCCUUUUGUCGUGGACGAUGUCGUCAACGGCUUCUUCGCGGUCGACAUCCUGCUCACUUUCUUCGUGCCCUACGUCGACAACAGGUCUUACCUUGUCGUCGACGAUCCGAAGAAGAUCGCACUCAGGUAUCUGUCGACCUGGUUCAUCUUUGACGUCUGCUCCACGGUUCCAUUCCGCUCCAUCACCCACCUCUUCACCAGGCACGAGCACAGCCUCGGCCUCAAGUUCCUCAAUGUGCUUCGCCUCUGGCGGCUGCGCAGAGUCAGUUCCUUAUUUGCAAGGCUUGAGAAGGACAUCCGUUUCAACUACGCCGUGAUACGCUGCACAAAGCUCAUCUCGGUCACUCUGUUCGCGGUGCACUGCGCCGGGUGCAUCAACUACCUGAUCGCGGACAGGUACCCCGACCCGUCGAGGACCUGGAUAGGCGCGGCGCACCCGGACUUCAGGGAGGACGGGCUGUGGGUGCGCUACGUCACGUGCCUCUACUGGUCCAUCACCACCAUGACCACCACCGGCUACGGCGACCUGCACGCCCAGAACGCCAGGGAGAUGCUCUUCGGCAUCUCCUACAUGCUCUUCAACCUCUGGCUCACCGCCUACCUCAUCGGCAACAUGACCAACCUCGUCGUCCACAGCACCAGCCGCACCAGAGACUUCAGGGACAUGGUUCAGGCUGCCACAGAAUUCGCGGCGAGGAACCAGCUGCCGCGGCAGAUAGAGGAGCAGAUGCUGAACCACAUAUGCCUGAGGUUCAAGGCAGAGGGGCUCAAGCAGCAGGACACACUGGACAUCCUCCCCAAGGCGAUGAGAUCGAGCAUAUCGCUCUAUCUCUUCUUCCCGGUGGUUCAGGGCGCCUACCUCUUCAGGGGAGUCUCCCCAAGCUUCAUCCAGCAACUGGUGACCGAGAUGGUGGCUGAGUACUUCGCCCCAAAGGAGGACAUCAUACUGCAGAACGAGUACCCAUCAGACCUACACCUUCUUGUGACCGGAGAAGUGGAUAUUGUGGCGUUCCUAGAUGGGACAGAGCAGGUUUAUGGAAAGGCGACUGAGGGAGGACUGCUAGGGGAGAUCGGAGUACUGUGCAACAAGCCACAGCCGUUCACUUUCCGGACGACCAAGCUAUCUCAGGUUCUAAGGAUCAGUAGGCCCAAGCUGAUGGACAUCAUCCAGGAAAAUGCAGAAGAUGGCGAGAUCAUCAGGAUCAAUCUUGAGCAAGUAAACGUCUAA
rnacentral:rRNA from 1 species